AUUCAUAGUACUAGAUGUGU
rnacentral:miRNA from 2 species